rnacentral:tRNA from 1 species
GAGGGUAUAACUCAGUGGUAAAGUGCAUGCUUAGCAAGCACAAGGUCCUGGGUUCAGUCCCCAGUACUGCUA